CAGUUCGGAUCGGAGUCUGCAACCCGACUCCGUGAAGCUGGAUUCGCUAGUAAUCGCGCAUCAGCCAUGGCGCGGUGAAUACGUUCCCGGGCCUUGUACACACCGCCCGUCAAGCCAUGGGAGCCGGGGGUACCUGAAGUGCGUAACCGCGAGGAGCGCCCUAGGGUAAAACUGGUGACUGGGGCUAAGUCGUAACAAGGUACC
rnacentral:rRNA from 1 species